CCCCUCGUCCCCGCGGCUUUUUAUCUGCAGGCGUGCGGGCCUGGUUUUUCUUUCUCGCUGCAGAGGUUCCUGGGACGCCAUGGAGGUGCGGGCGGCGGGUCACGGCGCGUGCUGCGGGCUCCCGGGAAGCCUCGGGGGCCCCGGGCCCGCCUGUGCCCUUCGGGAGCUCUAGUCCUAAAGAAAUGAAGAGAUCUUACCUAGGAUCUGAACCAGAAAUGCUGAAUACUAUCAAACCUAUUCAGGAAGUGAAGAGAUCUUGCCAAGGGGAGAUCUGAACCAAAAAUGCUGAAUACUGUUAAACCUGUUCAGGAAAUGAAGAGAUCUUGCCCAGGGGGUCUGAACCACAAUUUCUGAAUACUGUUAAACCUAUUCAGGAAAUGAAGAGAUCUUGCCCAGUAUCUGAACCAAGAAUGCUGAAUACUAUUAAACCUAUUCAGCAGAUAUUUCUGAAGGUUUGUGCCGGUGAAUAGAUUCGGGAUCUGAAUCAACAACACUCCAUAAUUUUGGUGUAUAUUUGUAUGAAUUCAUAAGGUAAUUUUGAAGACUGAACAUAUGUAGCAGCAGUGAUGCAAUGGGAAGUAGAAGACCAAGAAACUGGUUUUAUCUUCAGUCAGCUACACUAUUGUUGUCCUUCAGUCAUGUCUGAUUCCUCAUGACUCCUUGACCAUAGCUUGCUACUAGGCCCUUCUAUCUACACUUUCCCAAAGACUGUCCAAGGUCAUGUUUGUUGCUUUCGUGAUACUCUCCAUCUCAUCCUCUGCUGUCCCCUUCUCCUUUUGCCUUUAAUCUUUCCUAGCAUCAGGGUCUUUUUAAUGUUAAACCUCAAGCUAGCUUUUACACUCUCCUCUUUCACCCUCAUCCAGAGGCUUCUUAAUUCUUAACUUUCUGCCAUCUAUGGUAUUGUCUGCAUAUCUGAGAUUGUUGAUGUCCCUGAAAUCUUGAUUCUGGGUUUUUUUAUUUGUCCAGUCUGGCAUUUCAUUUGAUGUAUUCUGCAUAUAAGUUAAAUAAAGUGACAGCAUACA